GAGCAGCAGCGAGAGGCACAAAGGGGUUGCAUACUGAUAUUUUCCCAUGCUUAUGCAUUUUUGUGUUCAAUUAUAUGUAUAAUUUUGACAUCGGUCGUGGGAGAAAAACUUUUGACUACAAGUUUUUUUUUUUUUUUUUUUUGAAAAUUUUAUUUCAAUUUUACAUCUGUGUGUAUUUUACCUUGGAAGGCAUCUGCCACAUAUCACACUCCUAGCGUGCCACAGACACACAUUGUGUGAUCCAUAUUUUAUAUACUAUGAUAAGGGGUGGAUCUGCAUGAUCCGCUCUCUACACACACACACACACACACACAAAAGCACAAUUAUAUUUGAUGGUGUUAAUUGAGUUUCCACGAAAGAUAUAACGACCGAACGGAUACAUCGUUAACUAUAUUUAAGGACGAAAAGUGGAGUUUUAACGACGAAAAUUUUUGUUGUUAAUUUGACGUCUUAUUUUUUUUUAAUAUUUUGUAAAUUUUUAUUUUUUUUAAUUUUUUAUUAUUUAAUUUUUAAUUUUUAUUUUAUUAAUUUCAAUUGCAGGAAUUUAUUAUCAGUUUUUCUAAUGUAUAUAUUGUACUCAAUUGUAUCCAUUUUGAUAUACUCCCUCCGUCCAUUUUUAUUGUGAGUGAGUUGUGUGCGUACACACUUACCAA
rnacentral:lncRNA from 1 species